rnacentral:tRNA from 1 species
GAGCCUGUCUGGCGCACGUGGGUACUGCUAAUUCCUCACCACCAUGGUUCAAUUCCACGGCUCGCUCG